UACGACUACAUAUCAGGCAUAUCAAUAAGCGGAGGAAAAGAAACUAACAAGGAUUCCCUUAGUAACGGCGAGUGAAGCGGGAAGAGCUCAAAUUUGAAAUCUUCAAGGUUUUACCUUGACGAAUUGUAGUUUAAAGAAGUGUUUUCUGUUGAAGUUUUGGUAAAAGUUCUUUGGAAUAGGACAUCAUAGAGGGUGAGAAUCCCGUAUUUGACCAUUAUUUUCAGCUGUGUGAUACACUUUCAAAGAGUCGGAUUGUUUGGGAAUGCAGUCCAAAAUGGGUGGUAAAUUUCAUCUAAAGCUAAAUAUUGGCGAGAGACCGAUAGCGAACAAGUACCGUGAGGGAAAGAUGAAAAGAACUUUGAAAAGAGAGUUAAACAGUACGUGAAAUUGUCAAAAGGGAAGCGUUUGACACCAGUGUUGUUUUCUCGAAAAUCAAUUAAAAAGAGUUGGAUUUUGUGUUGUAUUGACCUUAACAGCUUGCUUCACUCUUUUCCAGCUUUUUUUAAUGCACUUUUCGUUUAACAAGUCAACAUCAGUUUCUUUUGUUGUAAAAGGGUCAUUGGAAGGUGGCUUUCUCUUCGGAGAAAGUGUUUAUAGCCUUUGAUCUCUGCAAUCGGAGAGACUGAGGUCUGCAGCGUAGAUCCUUCGGGGUUAGAUACAUUUGUGCUAAGCUACAGCUUUUCAUAGACAACUUGUUGACUAUGUUUAGUCUUGUAACUUACCCGCUUAUGCUAUUUUACCUACGCUUAGGAUGUUGAGCGCAUGUCUCUCUCU
rnacentral:rRNA from 1 species